rnacentral:rRNA from 1 species
CCUACGGGUGGCUGCAGUGGGGAAUAUUGGACAAUGGGCGAAAGCCUGAUCCAGCCAUGCCGCGUGUGUGAAGAAGGCCUUCGGGUUGUAAAGCACUUUCAGUGGGGAAGAAAGCCUUGGGGCUAAUACCCUCGAGGAAGGACAUCACCCACAGAAGAAGCACCGGCUAACUCCGUGCCAGCAGCCGCGGUAAUACGGAGGGUGCGAGCGUUAAUCGGAAUUACUGGGCGUAAAGCGCGCGUAGGCGGUCUGAUAAGCCGGUUGUGAAAGCCCCGGGCUCAACCUGGGAACGGCAUCCGGAACUGUCAGGCUAGAGUGCAGGAGAGGAAGGUAGAAGUCCCGGUGUAGCGGUGAAAUGCGUAGAGAUCGGGAGGAAUACCAGUGGCGAAGGCGGCCUUCUGGACUGACACUGACGCUGAGGUGCGAAAGCGUGGGUAGCAAACAGGAUUAGAUACCCCGGUAUC